GGGGCCAUAGCUCAGCUGGGAGAGCGCAUCGCUGGCAGCGAUGAGGUCAGGGGUUCGAUCCCCCUUGGCUCCACCA
rnacentral:tRNA from 64 species